UACGGAGGGUACAAGCAUUAAUCGGAUUUACUGGGCGUAAAGGGUGCGUAGGCGGAUGGGAAAGUCAGAUGUGAAAUUCCGGUACUCAAUACCGGAGCUGCAUUUGAAACUCCCCUUCUUGAGGGUAGACGGAGAGAACGGAAUUCCAUGUGUAGCGGUGAAAUGCGUAGAUAUAUGGAAGAACACCUGUGGCGUAAGCGGUUCUCUAGUUUAUUUCUGACGCUGAGGCACGAGAGUGUGGGGAGCAAACAGG
rnacentral:rRNA from 1 species